CCUCCCUCCACCUUCAGGUGGGGGAACGGGUCCUGACUGUUGUUUAUGCCUAUGCACCAAACAACAGUUCAGAGUACUCACCCUUUUUGGAGUCCUUGGAUGGGAUGUUGGAGAGCACCCCUUUCGGGGACUCCCUUGUUCUUUUGGGGGACUUCAAUGUUCACAUGGGCACUGACAUUGAGUUGAAUUUGUAGUCUUAUUGUUGGUCUUGCGGCCACAUGUCUUGGACACUUGGAUAAAGAGAAGGGCAGAGAUGUCAACUUGACUCAGGUGGUGGGGGAGGAUGCCGGUCAGGCCUAUUAGUCCCAAACGUGUUGUAAGGGUCUGCUGGGAGCUUCUGGCAGAGUCCCUUCUUAGAAAGAGUUUCAACUCCC